CCUACGGGAGGCAGCAGUGAGGAAUAUUGGUCAAUGGGCUUACGCCUGAACCAGCCAAGUCGCGUGAGGGAAGACUGCCCUAUGGGUUGUAAACCUCUUUUGUCAGGGAGCAAUUGGCCCUACGUGUAGCGUUAUCGAGAGUACCUAAAGAAAAAGCAUCGGCUAACUCAGUGCCAGCAGCCGCGGUAAUACGGAGGAUGCGAGCGUUAUCAGGAUUGAGUGGGUUUAAAGGGUGCGUAGGCGGAAUGCCACGUCAGCGGUAAAUUCGCGGGGCUCAACCUGGCUCCGCCGUUGAAACUGGCGUUCUUGAGGGGGGGAGAAGUAGGAGGAAUGAGUGGUGUAGGGGUGAAAUGCA
rnacentral:rRNA from 1 species